GACGAACGCUGGCGGCGUGCUUAACACAUGCAAGUCGAACGGUAAGGCCCUUCGGGGUACACGAGUGGCGAACGGGUGAGUAACACGUGGGUAAUCUGCCCUGCACAUCGGGAUAAGCCUGGGAAACUGGGUCUAAUACCGAAUAGGACCACAGGACACAUGUCCUGUGGUGGAAAGCUUUUGCGGUGUGGGAUGGGCCCGCGGCCUAUCAGCUUGUUGGUGGGGUGAUGGCCUACCAAGGCGACGACGGGUAGCCGGCCUGAGAGGGUGUCCGGCCACACUGGGACUGAGAUACGGCCCAGACUCCUACGGGAGGCAGCAGUGGGGAAUAUUGCACAAGGGGCGAAAGCCUGAUGCAGCGACGCCGCGUGGGGGAUGACGGCCUUCGGGUUGUAAACCUCUUCACCAUCGACGAAGGUCCGGGUUUUCUCGGGCUGACGGUAGGUGGAGAAGAAGCACCGGCCAACUACGUG
rnacentral:rRNA from 1 species